GAGAAUACUAUUCGAUGGCGAGGUCCUCUUCGGAGACCGAGUCGUCUUAUAUAUCCAAACACCUGUGCACCGUAGAGCCCCUCUCGCGAGGGGUUCGCCCUUUUUAUAUACAAACAUCAGUAGUCUUAAACGUAACGUCUUAUUAUAACAUGAUA
rnacentral:misc_RNA from 1 species